rnacentral:rRNA from 1 species
UGGGGCUCGAGUUCACUCCCAACCCAAUGUGAACGUUACCAAACUGUUGCCUCGGCGGGAUCUCUGCCCCGGGCGCGUCGCAGCCCCGGACCAAGGCGCCCGCCGGAGGACCAACCCAAAACUCUUAUUGUAUACCCCCUCGCGGGUUUUUUUAUAAUCUGAGCCUUCUCGGCGCCCCUUCGUGGGCGUUUCGAAAAUGAAUCAAAACUUUCAACAACGGAUCUCUUGGUUCUGGCAUCGAUGAAGAACGCAGCGAAAUGCGAUAAGUAAUGUGAAUUGCAGAAUUCAGUGAAUCAUCGAAUCUUUGAACGCACAUUGCGCCCGCCAGUAUUCUGGCGGGCAUGCCUGUCCGAGCGUCAUUUCAACCCUCGAACCCCUCCGGGGGGUCGGCGUUGGGGAUCGGCCCUCCCUCGCGGGGAGCCGUCUCCGAAAUACAGUGGCGGUCUCGCCGCAGCCUCUCCUGCGCAGUAGUUUGCACACUCGCACCGGGAGCGCGGCGCGUCCACAGCCGUUAAACACCCAACUUCUGAAAUGUUGACCUCGGAUCAGGUAGGAAUACCCGCUGAACUUAAGCAUAUCAA